CUCAAAGAUUAAGCCAUGCAAGUGGUUAUAUUAACCCGACAGUUUAAAUAAGUGUUAAAUGCUACAUUACACUCUCACGCACACACACACACACACACACACGAGAUUCGUUACGGUAGUAACAAUUUCAGCGUGAAUCACCUUUACACAGUGAAUCACUGAAAUUACCCAUUCAGUAUCACUUACGCAACUGCAGACAGCUGCUUAAUACAGUCACACUUGUCUUGACUUGGCGUCAUUUCAAACAGGAGAGAGAAUUUAUUUUUUCCCGCCUGCUUUGAAUUGCAUACUAUCACACAUGCUGAUUGUUGCAAUCAUUCGAUUUCUCUGUAUCGCUUAUUCUCAAAGGACAUGCGUUACACCGUGACAAUUUUCUUUUAUGGAUAACUCAGGGAAAGUUUGGCUAAUACGUACGAGUAUCACACACACACACACACUCGCACACAUUUUAUGAUUCGCUCUCACGUGGCGACGUAUCUUUUUCUCUCACACACACUACACCCCGAAUCGAUUACRUACCGCGAGAGAUCACACAGUGUUUCAUUUUUUAUGUGUCUGCAACACAUCAACUACUCARCACUCAAUGGUAAACUUUGGCCGCGUUCGCGCAGUCAGUUUAAAGUUUAACUGCAACAUGAGAGACAUUGAGCACGCACGUGUCGUGACUUCGGUCACUUCACAUCACGCUGAGCAGACUUUGCGAAGUUUACUUUGCGAAGCAUGUCAUACAAGCAUCUACAGCAUCAAGUCACAGGGUUGGCAAGUGUAUUUUUGAACCUUCAAAGCAGUCACGCAUACGGAAGAGUAGUUUCUGAUCCCAUAGAAGGAGCACCGUACAAUGAGAGACCGCUCUUAGUUCUAAGGAACGCAGCAGGCGCGUAAAUUGCCCAAUGCUAGUACCCUACAAUUUAUUAUCAUUUUGUAUUACUAUUGCGUUAUACAACAAUUUACAACACACACACACUAGAUGUGAUGUAAUAUAUAUAGCACUAUAUUUUAAUUCUGUCACCUACACACAGAAAUACAUCCUUGUUCGUUGUUUUUUUUCACGUAACGCAAAAAGUCAAUUUCUUGAUUUUAUGUUUUUACUGAGGCAGUGGCAAGCUGUAACGGUUGAGUAUAAAAAUGACGAGUGUCUGGCAUUGCCGCUCUUUCGGGAGCUUGGCAAGUUGCCGACGCUUUGUGUGCUCAAUUGGAAUGCGGUGAGUUUAAGCAACUCAGAACCUUUGGACGGUGUUAGUAAAAUUUCACUGUUCACGUAUCUGAAUUUCAAGUGGAGGGCAAGUCUGGUGCCAGCAGCCGCGGUAAUACCAGCUCCACUGGCCUAUACAAUCAUUGUUGC
rnacentral:rRNA from 1 species